rnacentral:lncRNA from 10 species
GUCUUCUGCGUCGCUCACGCUGGGAGCUGUAGACCGGAGCUGUUCCUAUUCGGCCAUCUUGGCUCCUCCCCCCGAGAUUGAUAAAUCCAAGAAAAUAGAGAAGAUCAAAAGAAGAUACAUAGCUGAAAACACUUGAAGGUAUAGACUACCUUGAAAGUCACGCAAGAACUGUUCUUCCUGCUUUCCAUAUCCAAGAUGCAGAAGUCAAGGCACAGGGAUGUGAACAUACGUGGGUCAUGUUUCAUAGUACCUGGACCAAGAGAAGAGGUCUCUCUAUGUUGAGAAAAUGGCAAUGCCUUCCCACAGCAUGGUACUUCUUCUCCUUCUGAGAAUGAUACUGUUACAUAAAGGUUUUCGGCGGUGCCCCAGAACACGGAGAUUUCCUUCUGCCCAGCUGCAUGAGGCACACAUAUCCUGGGAUGGCAUUAGGAAGAUGGCCACUUUCACAUCAACUUAUGUACUCUGGCACCAACCUCUCUUCUCCCUACCCAGCCCAACUUCCCACCCACUGCUAUUGGGAUGAUAUGUGCUCUUGGGUAAGGAAUGCAUAUCCAAAUGCUACCUCAGAUCAGGGAGGUAAUACCUGGCCUCAAUUCUCUGCCCUUAAAGAAUCUUGCAGCCAAAUUGGGUAAAGAGUCAAGACCCAUCGGUGUGCUUUAUUCAGGAGACCCAUCUCACGUGCAAAGACACACAUGGGCCCAAAAUAAAGGGAUGGAGUAAUAUUUACCAAGGAAAUGGAAAGCACACACACACAAAAAAAAGCAGAGGUUGCAAUCCUAGCCUCUGAUAAAACAGACUUUAAACCAACAAAGAUCAAAAAAGACAAAGAAGGGCAUUACAUACUGGUAAAGGGAUCAAUGCAACAAGAAGAGCUAACUCUCCUAAAUAUAUAUGCACCCAAUACAGGAGCACCCACAUUCAUAAAGCAAGUUCUUAGAGACCUACAAAGAGACUUAGACUCCCACACAAUAAUAGUGGGAGACUUUUAACACCUCACUGUCAAUAUUAGGCAGAUCAACAAGACAGAAAAUUAACCAGGAUAUUCAGGAUGUGAACUAAGCUCUGGACCAAGAGGACCUAAUAGACAUCUGUGGAACUCUCCACCCCAAAUCAAUAGAAUGUACAUUCUUCUCAGCACCACAUCGCACUUAUUCUAAAAUUGACCACAUAAUUGGAAAUAAAACACUCCUCAGCAAAUGCAAAAGAAUGGAAAUCAUUACAGUCUCUCAGAUCACAGUGCAAUCAAGUUAGAACUCAGGAUUAAGAAACUCAGUCAGAACCGGACAACGACAUGGAAACUGACAACCUGCUCCUGAAUGACUACUGGGUAAAUAACAAAAUUAAGGAAGAAAUAAAUAAGUUCUUUGAAACCAAUGAGAACAAAGACACAAUGUACUAGAGUCUCUGGGACACAGCUAAAGCAGUGUUUAGAGGGAAAUUUAUAGCACCAAAUGCCCACAGGAGAAAGCAGGAAAGAUCUAAAAUCGACACCGUAAUAUCACAAUUAAAAGAACUAGAGAAGCAAGAGCAAACAAAUUCAAAAGCUAGCAGAAGGCAAGAAAUGACUAAGAUCAGAGCAGAACUGAAGGAGACAGAGACACAUGGACACAGGAGAAUGAGAACACAUGGACACAGGGAGGGUAACAUCACAAACUGGGGCCUGUCAGGGGUGGGGAGUGGUGGGGAGGGAUAGCAUUAGGAGAAAGAUCUAAUGUAGAUGAAAGUUUGAUGGGUGCAGCAAACCACCAUGGCAUGUGCAUACCUAUGUAACAAACCUGCACAUUCUGCACGUGUAUCCCAGAACUUAAAGUAUAAUAUAAUAAAAGAAUCUCAUAGCCAUCAUCUGUUGUAUACAACAGACCUCAAAUUAGUCUCCCUCUGCUUCUCCAACAGUGUGGCCUCUUCUAUGAAGCUGUCUACCCAUGGGUUUCCCCAACAUCCCAUCCCCCAGCCCUCAGGUUUCUCCUCCCCAUCAUCUUCACUUCAGAAAGAGAAAUGAAAAAGAAAUUCAAGUGACUCAUCGGUCCACAUAGGCAGGAGUGGGAGAGGCUGAGAGAGUGAAUUUGUGGGUCCAGAUGAAUAUUUCCGCAGGCCUCUUGACUGCUUCACACGAUCUGCUGUGCUUCAUGAAAAAGAGGAUAUAAAAAUCUGAGUGGUGCCAUAUUGUCUCCAAAAGCAGCCAGAGUGAAAAUGAAGUGUGACUGCUGCCUCCCAAAACGCAGGGCAGCUCCUCCCUCACAUCCACAAAUGUGGUUCAGCGGGCUGCCUUGCCCUGUUUCAGGAAGCCUACGUGGAGGGCACUGUGGAGCCCCAGCCACCUUCUUCACACAGGGCUAUCUGGGGCUUCAGUGCCAGGUCCCCUGGAUACACAGCAGAGUCUGCUGGGGGCACUGACCAGGAUGCCAAUGCAGGGGUGCUUUCUCGGAGGCUCAUCCCACCAGCAGUGCCAGGCCCUGGGCAGGAGUUGGCACAUUUUCCUCUGUGCACAGAUCUUCCCCGUGCCAGGCUUACAAAAGGAAGUUUCCGGAGCUGAGCAGCUUUUCAGGAGCUCCAUGGCCAGUUCACCUCCCCAUUCUGACACCUAACGCCGUGAGGCUCCGUCCUUGAAGAGAUGUAACAUGUUCUGGAGAAGAUGUCAAGGGUCACUUCGAAGUGUGCACAGGAAAGAAAACUGAUCCUGUAGCCACAGAAAAACAGGACUGAGACCAGGAAGGGCAAGUCGUGUGUGUCAGCAUUGUGGACCUUUAUAUAAAUAAUAAUUUUCCAGUGGGAACUGUGAUCUCUUCUUGUCUCUUCUAUUUUUAAAUGCUAAUUACUUCUGAUUUUGUUUACGUAGGCGGAGCUAAUAAGAACAUUUGCUUCAUAACCAUUGAACCUAAUGUAUCUGUUUUUGGACACUGGUGAUUUAUUUUUGCACACAUGCUCCAAAUUGGUGCUAAUUACUUUAAAGGAUCAGAGUUUCUAUUCCAAGAGGGAUGACGACAGAAUGUCAAUUUGGAGUCUCUGAGCAUAAUGUCCCAAUUAUCAAUGCAUUCCAGACCAGAAUGGACUUGGCACCUUCUUGAAGGGAUUUGGCUUCACUUUUAUCAGCCAGUCCCUGGUUGUAGCUUCAUUAAAACUUGCUUUCUAGUAACUUGUGGAUGUGCCUAUACUUUUCUCUGUCUCAAAGACCCUUCAGUGUCAUAUCAGUAUCCUGAAUACCUACCUUUUCAUUUCCAGAUCAAAUACUUCUCCCUCUGAGCCUUUUUUGAUCUCUUUGGCCCAAGAUAAUUUUAAUUCCUAAGAUUUUCUGAUUCCUUUCUUAAAGAGGUUAGCACUUUCUACAUUGUAUUGUAAUCAUUUGCUGUUACAUUCUUACCUCCUUUCUAACAGAUAAGCCCCUUAGUGACAAUACCUUAUCUGAAUUAUCUUUGUCCCCACUGCACACUGAAACUUCUCCUGGUGCCCUGUACAUAAUAAGUGCUUUACACAUUGAUUUAAUUGCGGUUUGUUUAUAAUAUCCUACAUGCUCCAGAAAGAUUUUAAGGUAGAUUUAAAUAAAUAUUUAUGCAACAAAGGAAUGAAUACAUCUAUACGCACACAGAAUUACUAAAGUCUAUAAUCAAUAUAUGAAGUAUAACUACACAGUACAAAAUUUAACCAUCAUACCUAAAAGAAAAACAAACACGAUGCUGUGGGGAAUGCUUGAGAGGUAGUAACAAAGGCUUUAAAUCUUAAUGACCACCAAAGUAACCCACAUUCCUGAUAUGGUAUUUGCUCAACAUGAAUGUUUAGAUGAACAGGAGAUGAAAACUAUCUGAAGUGAGGGGAGGGGGUGUCACUGACUACACAGAAUAAAUAUGGAGCAUAUUGUGACCAAGAAGAUAUGGCCACAGAGGAAAAAGAGCAAAACAGGUCCAUCCUAAUUUGUUCAUUUACCGUUCACUUAUUCAUCCCACAAACUUGUAUGGAGAAGCCCCUAUGUCAAAUGCUAUGCUUGCACUGUGGAUGCAAAGGUAAAUAAAAACAUCCUAGUUUAGCUGUUUAGACCAGGGGUCAGCAAACUAUGGCCAAUGGGCCAUCUCCGGAUCACUGUUUGUUUUAUAAAUAAAGUUUUAUUGGAAU